rnacentral:misc_RNA from 1 species
CUUCUGCCUAUAUAUACACAAAAUAAUCUUAAUAAAUUUAAGUGUUAGAUCGACUUUCAUUGGGUUUGGUUUCCCUCAUAACCUUCCCUCACAUGUCAUCUCUCACUCAACCAUAGACUGUUCCAUACAGUUUUUUGGUCCUUCGAGAUUACUUUCUACAAGACAACAGUCUUUCUUCGAGGAUUCACACAGACAGGACCAUACAGUUUUUUGGUCCUUCGAGAAUACAGCCUUGCUGCUGACAAGCUGCGCAGUCAUUCUGAACCUGCAAGCUAGAAGACAACAGUCUUACUUCGAGGAUACAUACAGUCGUUUUGAUCCUUCGAGAAAAAAAAAACAAAUAUUUCUUCGAGAAAUCACUCAAGAAAACAGUCAAUCAAGACUA